GAUGAACGCUGGCGGCGUGCUUAACACAUGCAAGUCGAACGGUGAAGCAGAGCUUGCUCUGUGGAUCAGUGGCGAACGGGUGAGUAACACGUGAGCAAUCUGCCCCUGACUCUGGGAUAAGCGCUGGAAACGGCGUCUAAUACUGGAUACGAGCCGUGAAGGCAUCUUCAACGGUUGGAAAGAUUUUUCGGUCAGGGAUGAGCUCGCGGCCUAUCAGCUUGUUGGUGAGGUAAUGGCUCACCAAGGCGUCGACGGGUAGCCGGCCUGAGAGGGUGACCGGCCACACUGGGACUGAGACACGGCCCAGACUCCUACGGGAGGCAGCAGUGGGGAAUAUUGCACUAUGGGCGCAAGCCUGAUGCAGCAACGCCGCGUGAGGGAUGACGGCCUUCGGGUUGUAAACCUCUUUUAGCAGGGAAGAAGCGAAAGUGACGGUACCUGCAAAAAAAGCGCCGGCUAACUACGUGCCAGCCGCCGCAGUAA
rnacentral:rRNA from 1 species